rnacentral:rRNA from 1 species
UACGUAGGUGGCAAGCGUUGUCCGGAUUUACUGGGUGUAAAGGGCGCGUAGGCGGGCUCGUAAGUCAGACGUGAAAUACCGGGGCUCAACCCCGGGGCUGCGUUUGAAACUGCGAGUCUUGAGUGCCGGAGAGGAAAGCGGAAUUCCUAGUGUAGCGGUGAAAUGCGUAGAUAUUAGGAGGAACACCAGUGGCGAAGGCGGCUUUCUGGACGGUAACUGACGCUGAGGCGCGAAAGCGUGGGGAGCAAGCAGG